CCUACGGGAGGCAGCAGUGAGGAAUCUUGCNCAAUGGGCGAAAGCCUGACNCAGCCACNCCGCGUGCCGGAUGAAGGCCCUAUGGGUUGUAAACGGCUUUUACUAGGGAAGAACNANAGGGUUUCGAUCUUCUGUGACGGUACCUANUGAAUAAGCACCGGCUAACUCCGUGCCAGCAGCCGCGGUAAUACGGAGGGUGCAAGCGUUGUCCGGAAUCAUUGGGUGUAAAGGGUACGUAGGCGGNAGCCUAAGUCUGAGGUGAAAUCUUGNCNCUUANCUNNNAAAUGGCCCUGGAUACUGGGUUUCUUGAGUGCAGANNAGGCNNGUGGAAUUCGUGGUGUAGCGGUGAAAUGCUUAGAUAUCACNAAGAACAUCAGUGGCGAAGGCGGCCUGCUGGUCU
rnacentral:rRNA from 1 species